AGAAUGGUUUUUUUCAAAACCAUACAAAUUUGCUUCAAGUGCUAGU
rfam:Heterocephalus glaber contig50398, whole genome shotgun sequence.